rnacentral:rRNA from 1 species
UAAUACAGAGGGUGCAAGCGUUAAUCGGAAUUACUGGGCGUAAAGCGUGCGUAGUCGGUUAUUUAAGUCGGAUGUGAAAUCCCCGGGCUCAACCUGGGAAUUGCAUUCGAUACUGGAUAGCUAGAGUUCGGCAGAGGGAAGUGGAAUUUCUGGUGUAGCGGUGAAAUGCGUAGAUAUCAGAAGGAACAUCAGUGGCGAAAGCGACUUCCUGGACCAGAACUGACGAUCAGGCACGAAAGCGUGGGGAGCAAACAGGAUUAGAUACCCUGGUAGUCCACGCCAUAAACGAUGACAACUAGACGUUGGGGACAUAUGGUCCACAGUGUCGCAGCUAACGCGUUAAGUUGUCCGCCUGGGGAGUACGGCCGCAAGGUUG